GUGGCUGUGGCUCAGUGGGUAGAGCAUUGCCUCACACGCAUGAGGCUCUGGGUUCAAUCCUCAGCACCACA
rnacentral:tRNA from 1 species